rnacentral:rRNA from 1 species
GACGUAGGGUCCAAGCGUUGUCCGGAUUUACUGGGCGUAAAGAGCGCGUAGGCGGUCCGUUAAGUGUGAAGUGAAAUCUCCAGAGCUCAACUCGGAAACUGCUUCGCAUACUGGCGGACUUGAGGAAUGCAGAGGUGAACAGAAUUCCUGGUGUAGCGGUGAAAUGCGUAGAUAUCGGGAGGAACAUCGAUGGCGAAGGCAAUCACCUGGGCCUGAACUGACACUGAGACACGAAAGCGUGGGUAGCAAACAGG